AUUUAAAAAUUACAUACAUAUCAAAAAAAAAUCAUGUAAGAUCCUCCUUGUCAUCCUCCUCAUCAUCCUCCUCUUGCUCCUCUACGUCCUUUCCAACGCUGGUGGAUGAAAGUUGGAUAUCCCAACAUUCUGUAAUGAAGAAAAUUAAAUAUUAUUAAUAAGUUUCGAUAGAAAAGCAUAUAUGUCGAUACGGAGAUAUAUAUUUCGAUACACUACUAUAAUUCUCAAACAGAUUGUUCUUACAUGUUCCAUUCGAUA
rnacentral:lncRNA from 1 species